CACAACAAGAUCGCCGACGCGACGACAGCAAUGGCGGCGGUGUACCGGGCGGAGGACAACCACGACUACCUCUUCAAGGUCGUCCUCAUCGGCGACUCCGGCAUCGGCAAGUCCAACCUGCUCUCCCGCUUCACCCGCAACGAGUUCACCCUCGAGUCCAAGUCCACCAUCAGGGGGGGUCGAGUUCGCCACCUGCUCCCUCUAUGUCGACGGCAAGGUCGUCAAGGCCCAGAUUUGGGACACUGCCGGCCGUCCCUAUCCCCGUCUGCUCGGCAACAGACAUAGCGUAUGCUUGACCAGCUCACUGACCUCCAAAGGAAGGAACAAAUGAUGUGUGAAGCGAAUAAGUGCCUUUGAAGAAGAGAGCUCUAGGUUGAAGUUAAAAGAAGGGAACGCUUCAUCUUUGUAGCUAGUUUUAUGUUCCUGGGUGUUGUACGAGAGCGGCGAUGGUAUGGACGAGCUCGCCUGCUCCUGGUAGGCAUACCAACGGGACAGCGACGUGUUUCAGCUUGUAUUAAAUGUGACCGUAUAGAAACAGGAUUGAUACGUCCAAUACAAACGUGGCAUACGCAGACAACGCCGUCUAAGCUAACGGUGGUCGGUGGUCCAGCUUGCACCUGUUCCGUUUGUACAAGGCUGUUUCAGCUUCAUGGGCGGAAAGCAUCCGCAAAACGUGCUAACAAGGCAAGUGAAAAAAUUUAUGUUCCUGGGUGUUGUACGAGAGCGGCGAUGGUAUGGACGAGAUCGCCUGCUCCUGGUAGGCAUACCAACGGGACAGCGACGUGUUUCAGCUUGUAUUAAAUGUGACCGUAUAGAAACAGGAUUGAUACGUCCAAUACAAACGUGGC
rnacentral:rRNA from 1 species